GUGGGGAAUACAGCUCAGUUGGUAGAGUGCUUGCCUCACAUGUGCCAGGCCCUGGGUUCAAUCCCCAGCACCACG
rnacentral:tRNA from 1 species